UAACACAUGCAAGUCGAGGGGCAGCAUGGUCUUAGCUUGCUAAGGCUGAUGGCGACCGGCGCACGGGUGAGUAACACGUAUCCAACCUGCCGUCUACUCUUGGCCAGCCUUCUGAAAGGAAGAUUAAUCCAGGAUGGCAUCAUGAGUUCACAUGUCCGCAUGAUUAAAGGUAUUUUCCGGUAGACGAUGGGGAUGCGUUCCAUUAGAUAGUAGGCGGGGUAACGGCCCACCUAGUCAACGAUGGAUAGGGGUUCUGAGAGGAAGGUCCCCCACAUUGGAACUGAGACACGGUCCAAACUCCUACGGGAGGCGGCAGUGAGGAAUAUUGGUCAAUGGGCGAUGGCCUGAACCAGCCAAGUAGCGUGAAGGAUGACUGCCCUAUGGGUUGUAAACUUCUUUUAUAAAGGAAUAAAGUCGGGUAUGCAUACCCGUUUGCAUGUACUUUAUGAAUAAGGAUCGGCUAACUCCGUGCCAGCAGCCGCGGUAAUACGGAGGAUCCGAGCGUUAUCCGGAUUUAUUGGGUUUAAAGGGAGCGUAGAUGGAUGUUUAAGUCAGUUGUGAAAGUUUGCGGCUCAACCGUAAAAUUGCAGUUGAUACUGGAUGUCUUGAGUGCAGUUGAGGCAGGCGGAAUUCGUGGUGUAGCGGUGAAAUGCUUAGAUAUCACGAAGAACUCCGAUUGCGAAGGCAGCCUGCUAAGCUGCAACUGACAUUGAGGCUC
rnacentral:rRNA from 1 species